GAUGAACGCUGGCGGCGUGCCUAAUACAUGCAAGUCGAGCGAACGGACGAGAAGCUUGCUUUUCUGAUGUUAGCGGCGGACGGGUGAGUAACACGUGGAUAACCUACCUAUCAGACUGGGAUAACUUCGGGACACCGGAGCUAAUACCGGAUAAUAUUUUGAACCGCAUGGUUCAAAAGUGAAAGACGGUCUUGCUGUCACUUAUAGAUGGAUCCGCGCUGCAUUAGCUAGUUGGUAAGGUAACGGCUUACCAAGGCAACGAUGCAUAGCCGACCUGAGAGGGUGAUCGGCCACACUGGAGCUGAGACGCGGUCCAGACUCCUACGGGAGGCAGCAGUAGGGAAUCGGCCGCAAUGGGCGAAAGCCUGACGGAGCAACGCCGCGUGAGUGAUGAAGGUCUUCGGAUCGUAAAACUCUGUUAUUAGGGAAGAACAUAUGUGUAAGUAACUGUGCACAUCUUGACGGUACCUAAUCAGAAAGCCACGGCUAACUACGUG
rnacentral:rRNA from 1 species